AGAAAAGAAAUCUGGGUUCUGUCAUCACUUGUUGGCAAGACAAAGCCAAAUGCUUUCUGGAGUAUCACAAAGGAGUAGCAUUACAGUUAAGAAUCUGUGCUUCUGCUGUUUUGUUAGAUGACCUCUACUAACAAGGAAGGUUUUGUGAUUCUAAAACCAAAUAGCACAUGUAAACAUUUUUCCUCCCCUCCUCUUUCCUUUAACCUGCUUUCUUUUAUGCUUUCUUUAAGCUUUCCCAUUGCAUUCAUAGCUCAGAAAAGAGUCUGAGGAAAGAGCUCUUGCUCUGGUAACCGAAAAGCUUGCUCAACAAAAGACCCUUAAGCACGAAGGCAUGACUGAAUUAGCAUGCAUGCAAGUCAUUUGGCUUCAGUGGAUUUGUUCUUGAUUUGCAAGAGAUUGAGGGAUUCAGACUACAGAGCAUGAAUUGUCUUUGUUUAUCAGUGAAACCUGGAGAAAAAGCAUAUAUAUUGUUGGAAAUUCCUGUUGUUUCAGUUAGCACGUAUUUCGUACCUUGACUCCUCUAGUUUUAAAAAGAGCUGCAAAGAAAGUGUAAAACACAUUCUCUUGUUCACUUGUGAUUCUGUGCAGAGACCAGCUGUUGUUCCCUGCUUGCAGUUAUGAAGCCCCCAAAAGGGGAAAAAGCAUCUAUGAGCUUUGCCAUGCUGCUGGAUAAGAGAAAGGUGCUUAUUUAUAGGUAAAAUGCUGAAUUGAAAUAUUAAAAUUAUAAAUUUAAAUAACAGAAACCAAAUUAAAAUAAAUUAUUGAAAAUAAUCCUUAAACUUAGCACUGCAUGCCCUGAUGAAGGCUUUUGUACAUUUUCCAGAUUUGGUCUCAAGGCCAGUUCCUUUCAUUGAUGUGAAACAACAGCAAAAUUGUUUCUGCUUAGAACAAGAGUUGAAUUUGGCCUGGUAGAUUUAGUAAAUAUUGACUUAGUGAGUCAGUGUUCUCCUUAGCUUGCAACAUUAAGCAACUGGUCUUUCAAGUAUAUUUCUUUAAAAGGAAAUUUAUAUCUGUCCGUAGUUGUGCUGUACCCCACGCUCUGUAUACUGCAGGCUUUGACUGUUAAUUGUUAUCCCCGUUUCUGCUUUAAGCUCAUAUGAAUGAAAUGUGCACUCGUGCAAUAUUCUGUUUACUUUAGCAUCCCACACUGGAUACAUGAAAUAAUAGGUAUUAAAAUCUCAUAUUUUAUUUAGUGCUCUAGUAUUCAAAGCCACAAAAUGCCAGCUGAGAGUGAAAGCAGCUGCAUGCAGCAGCAGCACACAUAGAGAAGCACAUGGGUCUAGUAAACACACAGUUCUUGACCUUUUCUCCUUUCUUCCCACUCUGUCAAGAGAAAACAGCUUUCCCAUGAGCCUGCAUACAUACCUUCCUGGGUUUCUGCAAAGCGGGUGAGAUUAAUAGCUCUCUGAGAGGAGACGAGGCAAAAUAAGUCUGUUCCUUGCCUUAAAUGACCCUCUGUUUCCAGUUUCCAUUCCAUUUCCCUUUGGAUGUGUAGGUCAGACAAGACCCUUUCACUAUUCUUCUAGCAUCUGGAUUGGUACAGUUCUUAAACAGAUGAAAAAUGUGUGAGCAGCCAAUUGCUUUAUGAUUUCACCUAAUGAUGAAAGCUGGAAAAAUAAUUACUGCAGCUCUGUCUGCCCUUGGAAGGAGUAGACGUACUGCGUGGUGGGCAGCAGUAAAGAAAGUCUAGCUGCCACUUGCACUAGAAAUGCUAUUUUUUUAAAUUAUUUUUUUAAAUUAAGAAGUCAUUCCUGCUCUUGCAGUGCAGAGACAACUCAGCUGUGUGCCAUUUGAUGGCACACUGCAGUGACGUGUCUCUAAAUUAACAGGAGAGAAAAAAGAAGUUAUUCCCCCAUGGGUUUCUGUCCUCCAUUUGGGUUUUGGGAAAGACUGUGUUCUCAUCUUUCUGCUUUUUCAUCAUCUUUGUCACCUACGGACAGCCGAACCAAAUACAAAUAGAAGGCUUUGCUAUUUUGUUCUGUUUGUGUCCUAGUUAUUAGAAUGCCCACGAAAAGAUAAUGCAACAGAGAAUGCGAGGGUUGGAUGUUUUUUCUCUCUUGGAAAAGCAUGAAACAAAAGGAAUUCCACGCAUUAAUGUGAGAGAGUAUCCCAUCUGUUAAAGCCUCUGGAGAAGUUCUACAGCAAUUGUAGAUAUGUAAAGAAAAUGUUAGUUCAGUACAAGUGGUAACUGUUGUUCCUGAUAGCUCUUCUGCUGUCAGUAAAUAUCUACAGACAGUAUGGGACGUAGUCUUCAAAAUAACCUGGAGAUUGUUCUUAGUACAUAUGUGCCACUUUGUAUGUAUUGCCGAUGUAUAUAUGUUAUCUAUUUUUUUUUUAAUUAACGGUAUAUAUUUUUAAAAUAAACAAGGAAAGAUGAUAUUGUCCACUG
ensembl:lncRNA